AAUAACAAAGAUAAAAACGCAACGCGUACAGAAAUGUAUGCCAGAGCCGGUAGGUAGCCCGGCCGUCACGGCGUAGCCGUGGUAAGUAACCUGCCCUCCGGGUUGUCCGUUCUUUGUUCAUGAAUU
rfam:Lachnospiraceae bacterium ACC2 genomic scaffold supercont1.3, whole genome shotgun sequence.